UUUUUCCUGACAGUGAAGGUGUCACCAGGUCCCCCCCCCUCUCACCUGUCAGCCAAUCACGUGCCUCGGAACAAACUCAUCAACGGCUAGUUAGCCAGCAGGCUCGUAAGAAACGAUUAAGAGAAAACUUUGUCUUUCUGCACGGAGUUGUAUCUUUCUCCGAUGAGCAUUUUCAGAGUCACGAAGCUGCCAGAUGGGACCCCCAAACAGACCACGAGACCAGAGGAAAGAGGAUAUUCUAGGUCAGAAAUUGCUCCAUCUCCACCUUAAUGGAGAAUCUUCCAAUCCCUUAAAUGCACCUCGAGAAGACAAGGAGAGAGGAUGACUCUUGAGGAGUUUGA